CCUACGGGAGGCAGCAGUGAGGAAUAUUGGUCAAUGGACGAGAGUCUGAACCAGCCAAGUAGCGUGAAGGAUGACUGCCCUAUGGGUUGUAAACUUCUUUUAUAUGGGAAUAAAACGUUCCACGUGUGGGAUUUUGUAUGUACCAUAUGAAUAAGGAUCGGCUAACUCCGUGCCAGCAGCCGCGGUAAUACGGAGGAUCCGAGCGUUAUCCGGUUUUAUUGGGUUUAAAGGGAGCGUAGGUGGAUUGUUAAGUCAGUUGUGAAAGUUUGCGGCUCAAGCGUAAAAUUGCAGUUGAAACUGGCAGUCUUGAGUACAGUAGAGGUGGGCGGAAUGCGUGGUGUAGCGGUGAAAUGCUUAGAUAUCACGAAGAACUCCGAUUGCGAAGGCAGUUCACUGGACUGCAACUGACACUGAGGCUCGAAAGUGUGGGUAUCAAACAGGAUUAGAUACCCGAGUAGUC
rnacentral:rRNA from 1 species